CGGCGGGGCCGUGAGGGGCGGGAGCGGCCCCGCCCCCUCAGUCCGGUUCCAGCCGGGACAGAGCCCAGAUCCAGCCGGGAAGCAGCCAGACCCCACCGCCCGACCCCGCCGCGGCACGAAACGGUGCAGAGACGUUGGGCACUUUGGAGAACUGGGUGACAGAAAUUGUUUCACAGAUGCCAAAUAAUUCAGCUAAGGAGUCAGUCUACACAUCCAUCCCUCAUUGCUGCAGCCUGCCCCAGCAUGCAAGAAUGGCCCCAAAACUCAAUACUGUACUUAGAAGAGAAAAAAACUAUUACAGAAAAAUACUUAAAAAAAUAAAUAUACCUUUAGAGCUGUAGACGUUAAAAUGUUUGUUCUGAGCUCUUAUGUAGGGGAUCAGCAUAGAAAAUUUACUUUUGCUAAAACAUCAGGAACUG